UUGGAGGGCAAGUCUGGUGCCAGCAGCCGCGGUAAUUCCGGCUCCAAUAGCGUAUAUUAAAGUUGUUGCAGUUAAAAAGCUCGUAGUUGAAUUUCGGGGUCAGUAGGUUGGUCAUGCCACCGGUAUGUACUGGUCUCACUGAUUCCUCCUUCCUGAUGAACUGUAAUGCCAUUAAUUUGGUGUUGCAGGGAAUCUGGACUGUUACUUUGAAAAAAUUAGAGUGUUUAAAGCAGGCUAACGCCUGAAUACAUUAGCAUGGAAUAAUGAAAUAGGACGUUCGAUCCUAUUUUGUUGGUUUCUAGGAUUGACGUAAUGAUUAAUAGGGAUAGUUGGGGGCAUUAGUAUUCAAAUGUCAGAGGUGAGAUUCUUGGAUUUAUUGAAGACUAACUACUGCGAAAGCAUUUGCCAAGGAUGUUUUCAUUAAUCAAGAACGAAAGUUAGGGGAUCGAAGACGAUCAGAUACCGUCGUAGUCUUAACCAUAAACUAUGCCGACUAGGGAUCGGAUGAUGUUAAUUUUUUAAUGACUCAUUCGGCGCCUUACGGGAAACCAAAGUGUUUGGGUUC
rnacentral:rRNA from 1 species